rnacentral:rRNA from 1 species
UCCGUAGGUGAACCUGCGGAAGGAUCAUUAAUGAAUAUUAGGGUGCUAUCUUCAUCAGAGUUAGGCCCGACCUUCAUUCUUCUACACUGUGCACUUUUUAAUUGGGUGAAGCUUAACGGCUGAUCCCUACUCUUUAAACUCUACAAGUUAAAGAAUGUAAUAAAUCAAUAACAAAGAAAAACUUUCAACAACGGAUCUCUUGGCUCUCGCAUCGAUGAAGAACGCAGCGAAAUGCGAUACGUAAUGUGAAUUGCAGAAUUCAGUGAAUCAUCGAAUCUUUGAACGCAUCUUGCGCUCUCUGGUAUUCCGGAGAGCAUGCCUGUUUGAGUGUCAUGAACUCUUCAACCCACCAAUUCCUUGUUGAAUUGCGUGGUGUUUGGAUUCUGAGUGUUGCUGGCCUAGCGCUUUGGCGCAGAGGCGAAGCUCAUUCGUAAUACAUUAGCGACUCAAUUUCGAGUUUUCGGUUUGACUCGGCGUAAUAGACUAUUCGCUGAGGACACUUCGGUGGCCGAAUCUCGAGGUAGAAGCUUCCAAUUCGUAGUCUUUACUCUAAGAUUAGACCUCAGAUCAGGUAGGAUUACCCGCUGAACUUAAGCAUAUCAAUAAGCGGAGGA